GAUGAACGCUGGCGGCGUGCCUAAUACAUGCAAGUCGAGCGAACGGACGAGAAGCUUGCUUCUCUGCUGUUAGCGGCGGACGGGUGAGUAAGACGUGGAUCACCUACCUAUAAUACUGGGAUAACUUCGGGAAACCGGAGCUAAUACCGGAUAAUAUUUUGAACGGCAUGGUUCAAAAGUGAAAGACGGUCUUGCUGUCACUUAUAGAUGGAUCCGCGCUGCAUUAGCUAGUUGGUAAGGUAACGGCUUACCAAGGCAACGAUGCAUAGCCGACCUGAGAGGGUGAUCGGCCACACUGGAACUGAGACACGGUCCAGACUCCUACGGGAGGCAGCAGUAGGGAAUCUUCCGCAAUGGGCGAAAGCCUGACGGAGCAACGCCGCGUGAGUGAUGAAGGUCUUCGGAUCGUAAAACUCUGUUAUUAGGGAAGAACAUAUGUGUAAGUAACUGUGCACAUCUUGACGGUACCUAAUCAGAAAGCCACGGCUAACUACGUG
rnacentral:rRNA from 1 species